CUGCUGAGGAGGUAGAGGGAGUAUUCACAGCCAAGUUGCCACGAUUUUGUCGUUAUGGAGACAGACAUGCUGAGCUUCAAAACGAGGCUGUUUUUCUCCAGGUAUGAUGUUGCUGUGGAAACACAAAGCCCGAAUCCUCAAAGAACACUCUGUUCUAGUCCCAGCUGCUUUAUCCGUCUGCGUUGUGUCUCAUUAGCAGAAGAGCCUAGUGAGAUAGGAGUCGCAUCUCUGCUCACUCAUAUCUCUAGAGAAGGGCCCUACCCCUGGACUUUUUCCUGGAUCGGAAUGUGCAAUCAACACUUGACAGCAUGAACAAAGAGGAAAAGGAAACAACAAACCUCAGAAUAAAACCCCAGGAUGAAGGAGUGACUUUAACUACUCUGUCAAGUAUAUUUACCUAAUUCAAUGAUUUAUAAGUCAUUCAAUAAACAGCUUUUGUGCAUUUUGAUGUGAAAGGCCCCAUGUUAGUUACUGUUGUGGUGGUGGUAGAGGGGGUAUGUGGAACAGGGAAGAAUAUAUGGAAAGAAGUCUGCCCUUGAGUUGACAGCUUAUCAUAGAGGAAGUUAGGUAACAACACAGGCCACCAGAGUGGAAAGUCAAAUGUUGUAAGUGCAAAUAAAAGAACUGCAAACAACAUGGAGCAACAGCAAUUGGAGAAAUCUUAUCCAGCAUAGGGAAUUAGGAGAGAGCCAACAAAGGAAGUUCUGAAAAGAUUAAGGACCUAGAACUAGAAACACUAUUUGACCCAGCCAUCCCAUUACUGGGUAUAUACCCAAAGGAUUAUAAAUCAUGCUACUAUAAAGACACAUGCACACGUAUGUUUAUUGCAGCACUAUUCACAAUAGCAAAGACCUGGAAUCAACCCAAAUGUCCAUCAGUGACAGAUUGGAUUAAGAAAAUGUGACACAUAUACACCAUGGAAUACU
rnacentral:lncRNA from 10 species